UUUCCAAAUCCCCUUCAUUUCAUCUCUCAAUUUCUGGGAAUCCAAACCCUAGCCGUCCAUUCACCCCCUUAUCGGCUCUGCCCAUCGCUGUAGCUGGAAAUCGCUCUACGACGGCGACACCACUCCUAAACCUCCCCAAAUUUUCACCAGUCAAUCCCCAUCUUCCCCUCUUUCCAAAUCACUAAACCCAUUCCUUAAAAUCCCCACCAAUCUCGUCCGAUUUCAAAUUUGAGACUUCAACCUCAAACCAUAGAACGUCUGGAAAAUCCGGAAAAUCAUGCCAAGUAACCCAUAGUUUCUUUCACUACCAUCCCACCACCCUUGCUCCUAAAUUCACCUUUUGAUUACUUCAAAAUUCUAGAAAAACCUUAGCUAAGCCAUUUGGCCGAUUUCUUUUCUGACUCCUCGAGUUUUAAAGCACAAUUUGAGUCUAAAAUUACAUCAACUAAUCAUUCUUAGUAAGAAUGAAUGCUUAAUGUAUUUUUGGACCCACUUAAAAGUAUAACCGGAGUUUAGCCAGCCUUGUACGAGCCAGGGGUCCGUUCCUUCAUGCUUGAACCUAACUAUAAUCACUUUCCUUUUGUUUUCUUGUCCUAUAUUUUAGUUUUCUCACGUUCUGGUCCAUACUAGUUGAAAAUGAAAGAAAAUAAAAAUGUGUUGUUAGAAUUUCCUUCAUCUCUGUCUCUUUUGCCUAACUAAGCAGUAGCACUAAUUAAAUCUUAGGAUAAAUCCCUAUAUUGUGUUUUUUUCCGGCUGUUCGUUUUGGUAUUUAGGUGCAUGCUUUAGGAUUAUUAAGUUAUUUUUUGUUUUAUUAUUACUUGCUCGAUUUGAAUGUCCCAUGUUAGUUUGUUAGAUUGACUUUGUUAGCUAGUAUUAGUUUGAGUUAAUUUUUCACUAGUCAUUUGAAUGGAGAUUUAGACUUCAGUUUGUUAAAAUCAGUAUUCAACAUGAAAACUGGGUCAUUUUAGGUUCAGUUUCAGUAUUCAGAUGUGCAGAAUUCAAUAAUUAUUUAGUUUUGUUGUUUGAUUUUCAUUUUGCCUGCUCAUUUGUGUUUGCCUUAGUUUGUAAAGUAGUAGAAGUUUAGGGGGUAACUUGAACAAAAUAAUUUAGGUACAAACUACAAUAAGCAGAUAUUAGAAGGGAAAUUUGGGGUUUUCUUAUUAUAGAAAUAUCAUAAUGUUCUAGAAUAUAGCAGCUGUCCCAUUCUUAACAUGAAAAUGCUGGUAAUGGAUAAGAAAAAGGACAGCCAACUGUAUACAAGAUGUUGUACCUUUCUGCAAUAUAUGGAAUUAGGUGAGACUAUUCUUUUCUUGGAUGCUCUUUAGGAACUCUGUAUAAAGAAAGCCUUCCUUCACUCUUUCUCACACACAUUCAACCUGAUUUUUGCCUAAAAAAUUCAAAACGAACAUCAUAUAUCCCAACCUUUAAAACACUAAAAGUUUUCUGCAUUGUUUUGAUUAGAAAUUGGUCGAAAUCGUUUCUUGUUUUCCAUAGUAGCAAGAACUUAAAAGCUUUCAUAGGAUUUCUAUUUCUUUUGGGUUUUAAAAGAGUUCAAGGAAGCUGAAUACCUGCUGUUGAUUGCUACUAUUUCAUCCUCAUUUCUGCUUAAGCUUUAUUUCUAUUUUUCUUUGCUCUUUCAGGUAUGUCCUGAACUUUGAAAGUGCAGAAAAUGAAGUUGUAGCUCAUUGUUUGAUUAAAUGGAAAAUGCAUGUUUUUCAUUUUGAAUUACUGCCCAAAAUGUUCCUCUUGUAACUUCUUAUGCAGUUUUUUUCUUUUAUUAUUAAGCAUAUUAUCAUUGUUAGGACGGUAUUCAAAACCUAGAAGUUCAAAUCAAGAGAUGUAUUGUGUUGAGCAUUUCAUUAAACUUUUAAAUGUAUAAAGUGGAUUGACAGGUUAUGUCUGUAAACUUCUGCCCAUAUUUUGUGCAAUAUUUUGGUGCAGGUUCACAAUUAAUGUAAUAAAUUAUAUGUUUUCUUUUGAGUGUAUGUGUCCAUGAGUCACUUUGGGUCCAACAAUGUUAGGCUGAUGGUGUGUUAAGCUUAGGAUAAGGUGAGAAUUAGCUCAAGAAUUGAGUAUUUUGUUGUUAGUAAUAUGCGG
rnacentral:lncRNA from 1 species